rnacentral:lncRNA from 1 species
CAGGGUCGAGUGUUGCUCACUAUGUGCAUGUCGUCUGCGCAGUAGGCCUGCAAGGAUAGGCUUGCGUGCAACUCCAUGCACAUUAUAGACCCUGCGAUGUGCAGGCUAGCUGCUAUGCACGACAGGGUAGGCCGGCACCUGUAGGCUAGGCUUGUAGUGUGCGGCUAGCCUAAGUGAGGCGUAUUGUCGCCUUGGGCAGCGCGUCGCCACCCCCUUGAGCGCGCCGUCUUGGGUAGUGUGCUACCGCCUUGGGUGGUGAGCCACCAUCGGUGGAGGAAUUUUUCCU